rfam:Cetobacterium somerae ATCC BAA-474 genomic scaffold Scaffold202, whole genome shotgun sequence.
AUUAAAAUAAAAAAGUUUACUCAUAUAUUUUGGUAAUAUGGUCCAAAAGUUUCUACGUCCUAACCUUAAAUCAGGACGCUAUGGGAAGAGCUUAUACUAUA